CUGUCAUUAAACCGCUCUAAAUGUGUCCAGGCACAGCACUGCCUGCCUGGUUACAUGGCUGCUAUUUCAAAUCAACUCCCAUUGUAUUUUUCACCUGUAAACAACAGGUGUAAACAACAGGUGUAAACAACAGGUGUAAACAACAGGUGUAAACAACAGGUGGAAACAACAGGUGGAAACAACAGGUGGAGACUAAGUGAAAUGCUUACAGGUCCAUUUCCAACAAGAGAAAAUGGAAAUAGUGACACAAUGAAUAACGAAUAAAGAGUUAAAAUAACAUGGUUAUAUACAGGAAGUACCGGGUAAUAACAUGGUUAUAUACAGGAAGUACCGGGUAAUAACAUGGUUGUGUACAGGAAGUACCGGGUAAUAACAUGGU
rnacentral:lncRNA from 1 species